rnacentral:lncRNA from 1 species
GAAUCGGUCAAACCGUCGCGGUUUUCCGCCGGUUUUGGGGGGGGGUUUUGCCUCAAAUUCGAGGUUCCCCCCCCCCUCGCUCGCUCCUACACUUACUCGUUUUGGGGAUAAAAGUCUAAAUUUAACCAUUCCUGCUGCUGGUUUUGGAGAAAAAACCUGAAAACAUGAUUAUUGUCCCCUCCCCCCGCGCCUGCUCCAGGCCCUCCCUCCGCGGGGUUUUGGGGGGGGUUUACUUCUUUUUUUCUCUAAGGAAAGCUCCUGGAGCCACAUUCCUGCUCUUCCAGCUUCACUUUGGGGCAAAAAAAGCUUCUUUUUGAUGCUGCUGACUCUUCCUACUUGCGGCUGUGGAAAGGGCGGAAAACACCCCAAAACCGCCCCCUCCCCACCAAAAACCGACCUCCCCAAAAAAUGAAAUGAAAUCGACUCUUACUUCUCUGAAUUCCCCAAAUCUGGGGGUUUUCUCCUCAAAUCCCUGCCGGAAUCUCCUGAGCGCGUUUUGAGUGCAGACUGGCCUUUUUUGGUUAAAUCCUUUCUUUUUUUUUUAUCACCGGCCCCUCCCGCGCGACGCCUUUGGGAUAAAAACAGAAGAUUUUGGACACUUACUGAGCGGCGCCGGCGGGAGCGGCGGAGCCGGAGGGCGCUGGAGGAAUUUGGGGGGUUUUCCCCAUUUCUGGGGAGUUUAAUAGAAAAAGGGGAAAGGGGAGGGGCGACGGCGGCGGCGCCUGCAACGACAAAACCCCAAAACCCCCCAAAUCCCCCCAAAAUUCCCAAACCCCCAGAAGGGGGUGGGGCCUCACCCGGCCGCUGCCUCCGGCUCCGUUUGGGGCAUUUUCCUCAAAUUCCUGAAUUUUCCCAGCUCCGGGGCACAAAUCGGGAUUUUUCUUCCUUUUUCUCCCUUUAUCCUUCUUUUUUUCAUUAUUUUUCGCUUCUAUUUUCUCCUCUAAAUCCUCUUUGAUUUUCUCUCAUUUUUCCUCUCUUCUAUUCUCUUCUGUUUUUUCUCUCUUCUCAUUUUUUCCCUGUUUUCUUUCACUUCCAUCUUCUCAAUUUUUCAGCACUUGGGAUUUUCUUUUUUUCUAUGAUUUUCUAUUUUCUUUUUUCAUUUUUCCCAAUUGUAUUUUUUCCAAUUGUAUUUUUUCUAUUUAUUUACAGUCUAUUUUAAUUUUUUCUAUUAUUUUUUUCUAGUCUUCUAUUUGUUCUAUUUUCUUUUUUCUAAUUUCUUCUAUUUUCUCCAAUUUUCUAUUUUAAUUUUUUCUAGUUUCUUCUAUUUUCCAAUUUUCUUCUCUUUUUUUUCUAUUUUCUUUUUUUCAUUUUUCUAUGCUUUUUCAAUUUUCUUUUUUUCCAAUUUCUAAUUUUCCAAU